AUUGAACGCUGGCGGCAUGCCUUACACAUGCAAGUCGAACGGCAGCACGGGUGCUUGCACCUGGUGGCGAGUGGCGAACGGGAGAGUAAUACAUCGGAACGUACCUUAUCGUGGGGGAUAACGCAGCGAAAGCUGUGCUAAUACCGCAUACGCCCUGAGGGGGAAAGCGGGGGAUCGCAAGACCUCGCGCGAUUAGAGCGGCCGAUGCCUGAUUAGCUUGUUGGUGGGGUAAAAGCCUACCAAGGCGACGAUCAGUAGCUGGUCUGAGAGGACGAUCAGCCACACUGGGACUGAGACACGGCCCAGACACCUACGGGAGGCAGCAGUGGGGAAUUUUGGACAAUGGGGGCAACCCUGAUCCAGCAAUGCCGCGUGAGUGAAGAAGGCCUUCGGGUUGUAAAGCUCUUUUGUCAGGGAAGAAACACCGGCUCUAACACAGUCUGGGAAUGACGGUACCUGAAGAAUAAGCACCGGCUAACUACGUGCCAGCCGCCGCAGUAA
rnacentral:rRNA from 1 species